UCCGUAGGUGAACCUGCGGAAGGAUCAUUACCGAGUUGAUUCGGGCUCCGGCCCGAUCCUCCCACCCUUUGUGUACCUACCUCUGUUGCUUUGGCGGGCCGCGGUCCUCCGCGGCCGCCCCCCUCCCCGGGGGGGUGGCCAGCGCCCGCCAGAGGACCAUCAAACUCCAGUCAGUAAACGAUGCAGUCUGAAAAACAUUUAAUAAACUAAAACUUUCAACAACGGGUCUCUUGGUUCUGGCAUCGAUGAAGAACGCAGCGAAAUGCGAUAAGUAAUGUGAAUUGCAGAAUUCAGUGAAUCAUCGAAUCUUUGAACGCACAUUGCGCCCUUUGGUAUUCCGAAGGGCAUGCCUGUUCGAGCGUCAUUACAACCCUCAAGCUCUGCUUGGUAUUGGGCACCGUCCUUUGCGGGCGCGCCUCAAAGACCUCGGCGGUGGCGUCUUGCCUCAAGCGUAGUAGAACAUACAUCUCGCUUCGGAGCGCAGGGCGUCGCCCGCCGGACGAACCUUCUGAACUUUUCUCAAGGUUGACCUCGGAUCAGGUAGGGAUACCCGCUGAACUUAAGCAUAUCAAUAAGCGGAGGA
rnacentral:rRNA from 1 species